AUACGGAGGGAGCAAGCGUUAUUCGGAAUCACUGGGCGUAAAGGACGCGUAGGCGGGGUUGUAAGUCAGGUGUGAAAUCCUACAGCUCAACUGUAGAACUGCACUUGAAACUACAGACCUAGAGUAUGGAAGGGGCAGGUGGAAUUAGUGGUGUAGGGGUAAAAUCCGUAGAUAUCACUAGGAAUACCGAAAGCGAAGGCGAUCUGCUGGGACAUUACUGACGCUGAGGCGUGAAAGCGUGGGGAGCAAACAGGAUUAGAAACCCUGUAGUCC
rnacentral:rRNA from 1 species